AUGCAUCAGCAUACACCUCCGCGUGUGCACACGGGCUGUUCUAACUGGAGCAACUAGGUCACCCAAAUAUUCCAAGGGAAGAUGUUUCCUUCAGGGCAGCAUUCAGCGGGGUGAAACAUUCACUGUGUUGGUUUUCAAAACACCAGCCAGGCACCGUGGACCGCUGAACACGCUGAGGGGCUUGUGCCUUUUUCUCUUCUUCUUCUUCUGCUCCUAAAUGGCUGCAACACAGACUCCCAAGGCACAGAGAAGGAACAGUAAGGGUCACCUUGGAAGGACACUGUAAGGAACGGAGGAGAUUUGAUUUGAGUCCUCGGAGGAUAGGAGUCCUUAAAGCUGCCUCCCUCGCUGAAGACACAAAGGAAAUCUUUUGUUCAACACGAAACCUAUUUAAAAGGGAAUUUUUUAAAAAGCAGGCUGGAGGUAUUCAUUGUCCACACAUGGGAACCCCAGGCCCGCUGGAGGAGAAACGGCACCGCCAGGAGACAAUGGCGAGUACGGUUUGGCGUGCAGCACUUUGACGGGGUUCCAAGACAGAGGACCAAUUUAUCUUCCAAGAAAAGGGGACGCUGAUAGAAGAUUAUGUCAGCAAGACUUAUUCUAGGUCUGUCCUCUUGGGAGAAUGCAACCUUCGGGUUUAAAUGAGAAGGAUUAAAGCUUUCUAUCGGAGUUUUAAAUUAUUUGCCAUUUACUACUUUUUGCUUAUUUUUCAGACUAUUAAUGAAUUAUUCAAGUUAUUAUGUAAAAGAAGCCCAAAUUGGUUUUAUUUGCGUAACAUGUUUCUUUUUCCCUUUUCUUGUUCAGUUAGAUCAAGUAAAAACGAUCAGCGUUAGCAAUGUAGCUCCUGUGUUGCUAGCUGAAUGGCUUGUAAUAACGUUAAUGCUGCACUAUUAAAGCUCUUUUUGCAUUCAAAUGAACAAUUCUUUACCCAACGUGGGAAAUACAGUUUGCGUCAGAAACGACCCAUUUCCUGAACAUAAAGUGGAGGUGCUGGAAUGUACAGUGCGUAUGCUAUGACAUGAACAACAACGGGGUGAGAUGGCUCAUAGUGCCCAGUUCAGCUCUCGCAAUGUCUCUGACUGAAAGUUUCCCUCGCUAGAAAGAUUUCACAAGUUGGAGUGUUUCUUUUGCCCUUCUCUAUUAUCCUCAGCACGCAGUUGAAAGACAUUUUAGUUCAGUGGUUCCGUU